rnacentral:rRNA from 1 species
CACGUAGGGCGCAAGCGUUGUCCGGAAUUAUUGGGCGUAAAGAGCUCGUAGGCGGUCUGUUGCGUCCGCUGUGAAAACUCGGGGCUUAACCCCGAGCCUGCAGUGGAUACGGGCAGACUAGAGGUAGGUAGGGGAGAAUGGAAUUCCCGGUGUAGCGGUGAAAUGCGCAGAUAUCGGGAGGAACACCAGUGGCGAAGGCGGCUUCCUGGCCUGUUCUUGACGCUGAGGCGCGAAAGCUAGGGUAGCAAACGGG